rnacentral:rRNA from 1 species
GUCUAGGGGGUGUAGCAAUACAUCACCGGCGGACGGGUGCGUAACGCGUGGGAAUAUACCUAUUGGUUCGGAACAACUGAGGGAAACUUCAGCUAAUACCGAAUGUGCCCUUACGGGGAAAGAUUUAUCGCCAAUGGAUUAGCCCGCGUCCGAUUAGCUAGUUGGUGGGGUAACGGCUCACCAAGGCUCCGAUCGGUAGCUGUUCUGAGAGGAAGAUCAGCCACACUGGGACUGAGACACGGCCCAGACUCCUACGGGAGGCAGCAGUUGGGAAUCUUGGACAAUGGGGGAAACCCUGAUCCAGCCAUGCCGCGUGAGUGAUGAAGGCCUUCGGGUUGUAAAACUCUUUCGACGGGGACGAUAAUGACGGUACCCGUAGAAGAAGCUCCGGCUAACUUCGUGCCAGCAGCCGCGGUAAUACGAAGGGGGCUAGCGUUGUUCGGAAUUACUGGGCGUAAAGCGCGCGCAGGCGGUCUUUCAAGUCAGUGGUGAAAGCCCGGAGCUUAACUCCGGAAUUGCCAUUGAAACUGUGAGACUUGAGGAUGAGAGAGGUGAGUGGAAUUCCCAGUGUAGAGGUGAAAUUCGUAGAUAUUGGGAAGAACACCGGUGGCGAAGGCGGCUCACUGGCUCAUUUCUGACGCUCAGGCGCGAC